rnacentral:rRNA from 1 species
CCUACGGGUGGCAGCAGUGGGGAAUAUUGGACAAUGGGGGGAACCCUGAUCCAGCGACGCCGCGUGAGUGAAGAAGUAUUUCGGUAUGUAAAGCUCUAUCAGCAGGGAAGAAAGAAAUGACGGUACCUGACUAAGAAGCCCCGGCUAACUACGUGCCAGCAGCCGCGGGAAUACGUAGGGGGCAAGCGUUAUCCGGAUUUACUGGGUGUAAAGGGAGCGUGGACGGCGAUGAAAGGCUGAAGGGAAAGGGGGGGGCCCAACCCCCGGACUGCUUUGGAAAAGGUAUGGCUGGAGUGCAGGAGAGGUAAGUGGAAUUCCUAGGGUAACGGGGAAAUGCGUAGAUAUUAGGAGGAACACCAGUGGCGAAGGCGGCUUACUGGACUGUAACUGACGUUGAGGCUCGAAAGCGUGGGGAGCAAACAGGAUUAGAUACCCCGGGUAGUC